GUGUGGAAAAUUUCUCAUAAAUUAUCGUAAAUUUUCCCUCGAAAAAAUCAAAAUAAUAAAAUGGUUUAUCUCGAAGACUUGAAAACCUGCAACAGUUGGUUGUGUUGCAUUAAUUUACGAAUCGGGAAUUAUUUGACGUGCAUUUUGAAUACUGGAAUUUAUCUUUAUUUCACAUUCUUUCAUUUGAUGGAUGAUUAUCCGAUAGCGCGUUGGUUUUUUGCUGCGAUAAUUAUUGCCCAAAAUGCAUUACUUUUUGUGGGAAAUUUUAAGAGCAACACAUUACUGCUGAAAAUUUAUUUAUGGGCAAGUUUUUGGAUUUGGAUCAUCAAAGGAUUUAUUUUUAUCAAAUUAUUGGUUACAACGGAAUUUGCUUUUGGAUCAGGAGACGAUGUUUUACAC